rnacentral:rRNA from 1 species
UGCUUCCGUAGGUGAACCUGCGGAAGGAUCAUCUUCGGUAGAUGAACCUGCGGAAGGAUCAUUACUGAGUGCGGGCUGCCUCCGGGCGCCCAACCUCCCACCCGUGACUACCUAACAGUGUUGGUUCGGCGGGGAGCCCUGUCGGGGGCGAGCCGCCGGGGACUACUGAACUUCAUGCCUGAGAGUGAUGCACUCUGAGUCUGAAUAUAAAAUCAGUCAAAACUUUCAACAAUGGAUCUCUUGGUUCCGGCAUCGAUGAAGAACGCAGCGAACUGCGAUAAGUAAUGUGAAUUGCAGAAUUCAGUGAAUCAUCGAGUCUUUGAACGCACAUUGCGCCCCCUGGCAUUCCGGGGGGCAUGCCUGUCCGAGCGUCAUUGCUGCCCAUCAAGCCCGGCUUGUGUGUUGGGUCGUUGUCCCCCCCGGGGGACGGGCCCGAAAGGCAGCGGCGGCACCGUGUCCGGUCCUCGAGCGUAUGGGGCUUUGUCACCCGCUCGAUUUAAGGCCGGCCGGGCGCCAGCCGACGUCCAACCAUUUUUCUUCAGGUUGACCUCGGAUCAGGUAGGGAUACCCGCUGAACUUAAGCAUAUCGAUAAGCGGAGGAAUGAACUUAAGCAUAUCAAUAAGCGGAGGAAA